UUUCGGAAAGUCGACAAAGGCACUCUGACACAUGCUCUUUUUCUCGAUUCUCGGAAGCUGCCCGAAGUAAUUUCGGACCGUCUCAUGGGACUCGAGAGAGGAAGGCCCACAUUUGCCUUCGCGCUCUUGAACAACUGACAUCUGACCUCACGUCAAUGGCAUACGACUCCAAGUCUCGACUGCCCAGUCCUCCGCCGGCCGCUGCUGAACGCUGCUGACCAUUCCUCAUACUUCUGACAACCUGUAACGAUUACAACUUGCUAUUGCUUGUUCCUGCUGGUCUCUACAUGCCUCUGCUGGCCUCUGUUGACCCCUGCUGACCACCACUUACAUUUCUGACAACGUAUAACGAUUACUACUGUAUUCUGCCUGCUGCCGCCGGCCUCUGCUGACCCCUGCUGACCAUUCCUGAUACUUCUGACAAGAUGCCUCUAUAUCCCUCUGCUGGCCUCUGCUGGCCUCUGCCUGUCUCCGCUCGACUCUGCCGACCGCUGCUGACCACACCUGAUACUUCUGACAAGGUAUAACGAUUACUACGUGUUCCUGUUUGCUCCUGCUGGUCUCUACAUGCCUCUACAUGCAUCUAGAUGCCUCUACAUCCCUCUGCUGGCCUCUGCUGGCCUCUGCCUGUCUCCGCUCGACUCUGCCGACCGCUGCUGACCACACCUGAUACUUCUGACAAGAUGCCUCUACAUCCCUCGGCUGGCCUCUGCGGGCCCCUGCCUGCCUCCGCUCGCCUCUGCUGACCGCUGCUGACCACUCCUGAUACUUCUGACAAGGUAUAACGAUUACUAUGUGUUACUGCUUGCUCCUGCUGGUCUCUACAUGCAUCUAGAUGCCUCUACAUCCCUCUGCUGGCCUCUGCGGGCCCUUGCCUGCCUCCGCUCGCCUCUGCUGACCGCU